CUCGGGGUGACUAAUGCUGCCGCGCACCUCCCACCAGGCUGGCUUGUUCAGCCUGGAGGACUUUGCCACGUCUGUGCAGCGAGGGCGGGCAAAGGCAAGUGGCUAACUGGUGCCCUCCUCCCAGGAUCUCAUGAUCUCUUUCCUAAAGGAGGGUGCCGGCUGGACAUUGCUCUUCUGGGUCCUUUUCUGCCCUGCCCCUGCCCAGCCUGGCUCUACAGGAUGGACCACUGCCUUCUCUAGGCAAAGGCUAAGCACUUGCUCACCUGCCUUGCCUUUCCAUCUGCUGAAGGGAUGA
rnacentral:lncRNA from 1 species